AUCACUCAGAAACGGUGUACAGGAAAAUGACCUAUGAACUGACAGACAAUAUGGCUAAGUUUGUCUGUCAUUUCUGUAGGCCAACAUUCUGUAUGUCUGCUACUUCAA
ensembl:miRNA